AGCGAGUGUGAACGGAGCAGCAAAAUUUAACAAACGUGAUUUACCUAUAUCUCUAACAUAUAUUUGUCUUUGCAAAGUAUAAACCUUAGUGCAAAAUCAUUGCAAAUACCGUGCUUAAAUAACCGUUGGUUAGAUCACUCGUUGGCACCGCUGGUACCGAUUAUUCUUAACCACGCUAAAGCAUUCGCAGUAAAACAUAUAAAAUCUAGUUUCCGUAGGCGCCAGGCAGGCAUUUAAUCAAAGAAGUUGAUUGACAAUUGUUUGCGAAGGAAAAAACUAAACGAGAUUUUUAAUCCUGCUGGGAUACAAAUAUACUGGUGAUUACGGACUCGGAAAUUGCAUUUUGUUUCACGUCAAUCAACACCCUCUAAGAACGGUUGGUUUCAAAAUAGUCCAAACCGGGAAAAUAGGC